UUCCACAAGUCCCACAAGAGAAAGGCUUCUCACCUGUGUGAAUUCUCAUGUGCUGAGUUAAAGUCCCUCUUUCACUGUAACUCUUUCCACAGGUCCCACAAGAGAAAGGCUUCUCACCAGUGUGAAUUCUCAUGUGCUGAGUCAAAGUUCCUCUUUCACUGCAACUCUUUCCACAGGUCCCACAAGAGAAAGGCUUCUCUCCUGUAUGAACUUUCAUAUGAUCAUUUAGAUGGUCUUUUCGAGAGAAACUUUU